rnacentral:rRNA from 1 species
UGNUCUGUCACUGACGCUGAGGCUNGAAAGCGUGGGUAGCGAACAGGAUUAGAUACCCUGGUAGUNCACGCCGUAAACGAUGAGUGCUAGGUGUUAGGCCCUUUCCGGGGCUUAGUGCCGGAGCUAACGCAAUAAGCANUCCGCCUGGGGAGUACGACCGCAAGGUUGAAACUCAAAGGAAUUGACGGGGGCCCGCACAAGCGGUGGAGCAUGUGGUUUAAUUCGAAGCAACGCGAAGAACCUUACCAGGUCUUGACAUCCCGAUGCUAUUCUUAGAGAUAGGAAGUUACUUCGGUACAUCGGAGACAGGUGGUGCAUGGUUGUCGUCAGCUCGUGUCGUGAGAUGUUGGGUUAAGUCCCGCAACGAGCGCAACCCUUAUUGUUAGUUGCCAUCAUUAAGUUGGGCACUCUAGCGAGACUGCCGGUAAUAAACCGGAGGAAGGUGGGGAUGACGUCAAAUCAUCAUGCCCCUUAUGACCUGGGCUACACACGUGCUACAAUGGUCGGUACAACGAGUUGCGAGCCGGUGACGGCAAGCUAAUCUCUGAAAGCCGAUCUCAGUUCGGAUUGGAGGCUGCAACUCGCCUCCAUGAAGUCGGAAUCGCUAGUAAUCGCGGAUCAGCACGCCGCGGUGAAUACGUUCCCGGGCCUUGUNC